rnacentral:rRNA from 1 species
AAAACCGGGUGACCUAGCCAUGUCCAGGCUGAAGUGGAGGUAAAGCUCCAUGGAGGGCCGAACCGACCCCUUUGAAAAGGUGGCGGAUGAGGUGUGGCUAGCGGAGAAAUUCCAAUCGAACCCGGAUAUAGCUGGUUCUCCCCGAAAUAGCUUUAGGGCUAGCGUUAUGAAAGAUUACCGGAGGUAAAGCACUGAAUUGGCUAGGGGCCGAGAGGUUACUGAACCAUAUCAAACUAAAGAAUGCCGGAUAAUUAAUUCAUAGCAGUCAGACUACGUGAGAUAAGUCUCGUGGUCAAAAGGGAAACAGCCCAGACCCACAGCUAAGGUCCCGAAAAUUCAACGGGGCUAAAACAUAUACCGAAGCUUGGGCUUGACAGUAAUGUCAGGGGUAGGGGAGCGUUGUGUAAGGGGUGAAGUCAUAGCGAAAGCGGUGGUGGACUUUACACAAGUGAGAAUGCCGGAACGAGUAGCGAGAAUUAUGUGAGAAUCAUAAUGGCCGAAAAUCUAAGGUUUCAGAAGGAAGGUUCGUCCGCUUCUGGUAAGCCGGGAGCUAAGGCGAGGCCGAAAGGCGUAGCCGAUGCACAUACGGUAGAAAUUCCGUAGCCUCUAUCAAUUUAAACACAGGGACACUUUUGAAGGGUUCAGCCGGGCGAUGGUUGCCCCGGUCGUAAGGGACUGCAAAUGAGCGGGAAGUGAAUUUGGAAGAAGGCGAGAAAAGCUGUGUGAAUAGAAGAUAGAGCCCGUACCGCAAACCGACACAGGUAGAUAGGAAGAAGAUUCUAAGGCCAACGGGAGAAGGGUUGUUAAGGAACUCGGCAAGUUGACCCCGUAACUUAGGGAGAAGGGGUGCUCUUUAAGGAGAGCCGCAGAGAAUAGGCCCAAGCGACUGUUUAGCAAAAACACAGCUCUAUGCUAAAUCGAAAGAUGACGUAUAUGGGGUGACACCUGCCCGGUGCCGGAAGGUUAAGAGGAGGAGUGAGAGCUCUGAAUUGAAGCCCCGGUAAACGGCGGCCGUAACAAUAACGGUCCUAAGGUAGCGAAAUUCCUUGUCAGGUAAGUUCUGACCCGCACGAAUGGUGUAACGAUUUGGGCACUGUCUCAACAACCUGCCCGGCGAAAUUGUAGUACCGGUGAAGAUGCCGGUUACCCGCGACUAGACGGAAAGACCCCAUGGAGCUUUACUGCAGCUUAAUAUUGAAUUUCGGUAUUUCAUGUACAGGAUAGGUGGGAGACAGGGAACCAUAGGCGUCAGCUUAUGGGGAGUCGACCUUGGGAUACCACU